UUGUAUUGUCUCAACAACGUAUUGUAUGGUUGGUGCCAUAAAUGUCGGGCAAACUUUCAGCAGGAAUACAAAAAGGUUGUUGGGAAUAAAUGCACUUAUUGUGGAGGGGAUAUUGAAGACGAUUACCCUACAGUUGGAAUUCUCUUAUCCUUUAUAUUCCUACCCCUGGGUAUAGCGGUCUGCUGCUUCCUCAAAGAGAGAAAAUGUGUCAUGUGCUCCAGAUGUGUCAUUUAAAAAUACAUCAAAAUUCACUCAAAGUGCAUCAGUCAAAAAAUGCACCUUCUGGUCAAAAUCUGUCAUUUCCAAAGAAAAUACUGAAAAUGCAUUUUGAUAGAUGCUUUAAUGGAGUAAAGACCAGGUGUAAAAUACAUUGAAGUGAUGGAAAAAGUGAAGUUUAAAACAGUUAAGAAUAAAAUAAAAUAAGUCAAUGGAAGGUUAUGCUACAAGAUAUGUUCAUGUUGAAAUGUGGAAAAUAUUGUUGUAAAAUUUAAAGUUAUAAUUAACUCUUGAAAAAAAAUCAUAUUAAAAGUGUCAUGUAAUGACAAUUCUUAUACACACUACUGAAAAAACACACUAAGAAAGUCAAUCGUUGUUAUUAUUGUUAUUAAAAUUAAGCUUGUCAUUUUAUCUGUAAAUUAUGACUCGAACAUUCCUUCUAAUUUACAACAGUACCCUGACAAGCUUUGACUUAUGAGGAAUAAUGAGAUAUCCAUAAUUUUAAAUUUAAAAUGGGUUAUUUUCAAUGGUGGUUUCUCUAUAAAGUGACAGUUUCUUUCUACUGAAACAAUGGAGAAAUUUAACACUUUUCAAGCUAAAAACGAAAAGUUUUCUUUAAUGGAUAAAUUUACAAACAGAAGAACACACCCUUUAACCCUGUGUGAUGUACAAUAGUCCUGUAUAAGUUUUCUUUCUUGGAUAAAUUUACAAAUAGAAGAACACUCUCUUUAACCCUGUGUGAUGUACAAUAGUCCUGUAUAAGUUUUCUUUAAUGGAUAACUUUACAAACAGAAGAACACUCCCUUUAACCUUGUGUGAUGCACAAUAGUCCUGUAUAAGUUUUCUUUCUUGGAUAAAUUUACAAAUAGAAGAACACUCUCUUUAACCCUGUGUGAUGUACAAUAGUCCUGUAUAAGUUUUCUUUAAUGGAUAACUUUACAAACAGAAGAACACUCCCUUUAACCUUGUGUGAUGCACAAUAGUCCUGUAUAAGUUUUCUUUCUUGGAUAAAUUUACAAAUAGAAGAACACUCUCUUUAACCCUGUGUGAUGCACAAUUGUCCUGUAUAAGUUUUCUUUAUUGGAUAAAUUUACAAACAGAAGAACACUCCCUUUAACCCUGUGUGAUGCACAAUAGUCCUGUAUAAGUUUUCUUUAUUGGAUGAAUUUACAAAUAGAAGAACACUCCCUUUAACCCUGUAUGAUGUACAAUAGUCCUGUAUAAGUUUUCUUUCUUGGAUAAAUUUACAAACAGAAAAUAAUAAAAUGUAUCUUAAGAUGAACUACAUGUGAUUUAUAGAUAUUACUGUAUUACAACUAGAUAAGUGAUUUCAAUUCCAAGAUGUAAUUACAAGUGACCCUCCGUUUAUAGAUUAACAACGAUAUCUUCAUUCUCAAAGUUUUUAACUUAGAAAAUUGAUUUUUUUCAACUGCGGGGUUUCCAUAAAAUGACUUGUGGAUUCCAGAAAUUAUAAAGGAUCUGCCAGGAUCAAAGACUCGGCAGUCUAGAAAAACGACGUUAUCUUCAACAUUAUUAAUCAGCAAAAAGUUUAAAGGGACUGUUGGCGUACUUUAAGAGAUCCUCCAAGCAAAAAGUUCAACGCUCGAUUCACAAUGGUACCCUGGAAACCUUUUUCUGAUAAAUACUGGGAAAGAUAUAGUUUAUUAUUAUUUAUUCGGAUAUUGUUUCCUGCAGUGGAAAUGCGAAAGUUAGUUUUACUAUUUUGCUAUUUUCCCUGACUCAACCCCUGUUGUAUGGUUACGUAAAAUAUUUAAUAUAUAAUAUGUAUGUUGAUAGAUAUAUUUACUAUAUUGUAUAUAAUGUAAUAGAUAAAUAUUGCUUUAUUAUCUCAGUAGAGUGAUAUGAGCAUAAAAAACUGCAGUAUUUAUUUUAUAGAUCUAAAAAGACAAGUUUAUAAGAAAAACGCUUAUAUAUUAUUGCAGAAAUAAAUGUUUAAGAUUUUA